GAUGAACGCUGGCGGCGUGCUUAACACAUGCAAGUCGAACGAAGCACUUUUUUUGAAAGAGAGAUAACUUGUUAUUUUUUGGACAUGUAAAGUGACUGAGUGGCGGACGGGUGAGUAACGCGUGGAUAACCUGCCUCAUACAGGGGGAUAACAGUUAGAAAUGACUGCUAAUACCGCAUAAGCGCACAGUAUCGCAUGAUACGGUGUGAAAAACUCCGGUGGUAUGAGAUGGAUCCGCGUCUGAUUAGCUAGUUGGUGGGGUAACGGCCCACCAAGGCAACGAUCAGUAGCCGACCUGAGAGGGUGACCGGCCACAUUGGGACUGAGACACGGCCCAAACUCCUACGGGAGGCAGCAGUGGGGAAUAUUGCACAAUGGGGGAAACCCUGAUGCAGCGACGCCGCGUGAGCGAAGAAGUAUUUCGGUAUGUAAAGCUCUAUCAGCAGGGAAGAAAAUGACGGUACCUGACUAAGAAGCCCCGGCUAACUACGUGCCAGCCGCCGCGGUAAAAC
rnacentral:rRNA from 1 species